rnacentral:rRNA from 1 species
GAUGAACGCUGGCGGCGUGCCUAAUACAUGCAAGUCGAGCGAAGCGGGGACGGGUGAGGAACCCGUGGAUAACCUCCUAUAAGACUGGGAUUACUUCGGGAAACCGGAGCUAAACCGGAUCCUUAUAGAUGGAUCCGCUGGGUAUUAGCUAGGGGGUAAGGUAACGGCUUACCAAGUCAACGAUGCAUAGCCGACCUGAGAGGAUGAUCAGCCACACUGGAACUGAGACACGGUCCAGACUCCUACGGGAGGCAGCAGUGGGGAAGCUUCCGCAAUGGGCGAAAGCCUGACGGAGCAACGCCGCGGGAAUGAUGAAGGUCUUCGGGUCGUAAAGCUCUGUUAGUGGGGAGGCGGUACCUACUCAAGAAGCCACGGCUAACUACGUGCCAGCAGCCGCGGUAAUUC